rnacentral:rRNA from 1 species
UACGUAGGGUGCGAGCGUUGUCCGGAAUUAUUGGGCGUAAAGAGCUCGUAGGCGGUCUGUCGCGUCGGAUGUGAAACCUCCAGGCUCAACCUGGUGACGCCACCCGAUACUGCUAUAGCUUGAGUUCGGUAGGGGAGCGGGGAAUUCCUGGUGUAGCGGUGAAAUGCGCAGAUAUCAGGAGGAACACCGGUGGCGAAGGCGGGUCUCUGGGCAAUAACUGACGCUGAGGAGCGAAAGCGUGGGGAGCGAACAGG